rnacentral:misc_RNA from 1 species
UGAAUAAUAUCAAAUUUUGGUCUUGUGCCAAAGUUUGGAUCAUGUCGAGGAAGCUAUUAUUUGUAUUAUGGGUAGCUCCUUGGAAAUUCAUAGGUCUUCCAGUUACUAUAGUUGGAAUGUGAUGAAAAUUUCUUCAUUCAAAUGUAGUUUACUUGUGUAGUCCAAAAAUAAAUAUACUUUCUUGGUAUCUUUUGA